GAUGAACGCUGGCGGCAGGCUUAACACAUGCAAGUCGAGCGGGGGAAGGUAGCUUGCUACCGGACCUAGCGGCGGACGGGUGAGUAAUGCUUAGGAAUCUGCCUAUUAGUGGGGGACAACAUCCCGAAAGGGGUGCUAAUACCGAAUGUUGUACCGUUUCCGCAUGGAGAUGAUACUAAAGGUGGCCUCUGAAUAUGCUACCGCUAGAAGAUGAGCCUGCGUCUGAUUAGCUAGUUGGAGGGGUAACGGCCCACCAAGGCUUCGCUCAGUAGCCGGGCUGAGAGGAGGAACGGCCACACUGGGACUGAGACACGGCCCAGACGCCUACGGGAGGCAGCAGUGGGGAAUCUUCCGCAAUGGACGAAAGUCUGACGGAGCAACGCCGCGUGGGGGAUGAAGGUCUUCGGAUCGUAAACCCCCGUCGAACGGGACGAAAGACUCUGGAGCUAAUCAACCGGAGAGUGACGGUACCGUUAAAGGAAGCCACGGCUAACUCUGUGCCAGCAGCCGCAGUAA
rnacentral:rRNA from 1 species